rnacentral:rRNA from 1 species
GACGAACGCUGGCGGCGUGCUUAACACAUGCAAGUCGAGCGGAAAGGCCCUUCGGGGUACUCGAGCGGCGAACGGGUGAGUAACACGUGAGUAAUCUGCCCCUGGCUUCGGGAUAGCCACCGGAAACGGUGAUUAAUACCGGAUAUGACCACUUUACGCAUGUUUGGUGGUGGAAAGUUUUUCGGCCAGGGAUGUGCUCGCGGCCUAUCAGCUUGAUGGUGAGGUAAUGGCUCACCAUGGCUUCGGCGGGUAGGCGGCCUGAGAGGGUGACCGGUCAAACUGUGACUGAGACACGGCCCAGACUCCUACGGGAGGCAGCAGUGGGGAAUAUUGGACAAUGGGCGGAAGCCUGAUCCAGCAAUGCCGCGUGAGGGAUGACGGCCUUCGGGUUGUAAACAUCUUUCAGUACCGACGAAGCGCAAGUGACGGUAGGUACAGAAGAAGCACCGGCCAACUACGUGCCAGCCGCCGCCGUAA